rnacentral:tRNA from 1 species
UCCCUGGUGGCUCAGCAGGUUAAGAAUCCAGCAUUGUCACUGCUGUGGCUUGGGUUCGAUCCCUGACCCAGGAA